rnacentral:rRNA from 1 species
AGGGAAGCAAGAUAGUGAUAUGGAGCAAAACCCUAAAAAGCGGUCUCAGUUCGGAUUGAAGGCUGAAAUUCGCCUUCAUGAAGCUGGAAUUGCUAGUAAUGGCAGGUCAGCAUACUGCCGUGAAUACGUUCCCGGGCCUUGUACACACCGCCCGUCACACCAUGAGAGUUGGGAAUGCCCGAAGCCGGUGACCUAACCGAAAGGGAGGAGCCGUCGAAGGCAGGCUUGAUAACUGGGGUGAAGUCGUAACAAGGUAAC